rnacentral:pre_miRNA from 1 species
UCUUACAGAGGAACAAAGAAAAUGGGUUCUUGAGGUGGAAUCUACUCCUGGAGAAGAAGCUGUGAA